rnacentral:rRNA from 11 species
AGAAACAGCCAGGCCUAAAUACCCUAAAGGCAUGAGAUCCUGUCGGAAAGUUAAGCAGGCUCAGCCCUGUUUAGGGCAUGAAUGGGAGAUCACCAAUGAAUAUCAGGUGUUGUUUUCU